rnacentral:rRNA from 1 species
AGGGGUAAACCUGAGAAACCCGAAAGAUCGAAAGGGGAGAUUCAAUGUGCGAUUGACCGGGAUUCGUCUCGCGAUACGCCUAGGCGAUGCAGGCAUGCAAUUCUCUCCCAGUAGGACGUCGCGACCCGUUGGGUGUCGAUCUACGACGUAGCCUGUCACGAAUUGUCAGACCUCGCGUGUUCCGGUCGACCGCCCGACGGUAUAGCGUUCGACCGAUGGCAAGCGCGGACGGUUCUUCGUUCGUCGGGCCUGGCCCGGCAUCGGUGCCGCUCGAGCUGUUGGCUGUCGUGUUCUCGAACGGACUCUUUAUCGGUCAGCGAUGAUAUUGCUUUGGGUACUUUCAGGACCCGUCUUGAAACACGGACCAAGGAGUCUAGCAUGUGCGCAAGUCAUUGGGAAUCACAAAACCUAAAGGCGCAAUGAAAGUAAAGGUUCGCUUAAGCGAACUGAGGGAUGAUGGACGACGCGUUCUCGCAAUCCCGGGGCGUCUCACUCUCAUUGCGAGAAGUGGCGCACCAAGAGCGUACACGCUGGGACCCGAAAGAUGGUGAACUAUGCCUGGUCAGGUCGAAGUCAGGGGAAACCCUGAUGGAGGACCGUAGCAAUUCUGACGUGCAAAUCGAUCGUCGGAACUGGGUAUAGGGGCGAAAGACNNNNNNNNNNNNNNNNUAGCUGGUUCCCUCCGAAGUUUCCCUCAGGAUAGCUGGCAUUCGAUGAGCGAGUCUCAUCCGGUAAAGCGAAUGAUUAGAGGCCUUGGGGCCGAAACGACCUCAACCUAUUCUCAAACUUUAAAUGGGUGAGAUCUCCGGCUUGCUUGAAUAGUGAAGCCGGAGCAGAGUGCCUAGUGGGCCACUUUUGGUAAGCAGAACUGGCGCUGUGGGAUGAACCAAACGCCGAGUUAAGGCGCCUAAACGACGCUAAUGGGACACCAUGAAAGGCGUUGGUUGCUUAAGACAGCAGGACGGUGGCCAUGGAAGUUGGAAUCCGCUAAGGAGUGUGUAACAACUCACCUGCCGAAGCAACUAGCCCUGAAAAUGGAUGGCGCUGAAGCGUCGUGCCUAUACUCGGCCGCCGGGGCAUGAGGAGCGUUCGCUUUGAAGCCCCGGUGAGUAGGAGGGUCGCGGUGGUGUGCGCAGAAGGGUUUGGGCGUGAGCCUGCCUGGAGCCUCCAUCGGUGCAGAUCUUGGUGGUAGUAGCAAAUACUCCAGCGAGGCCCUGGAGGACUGACGUGGAGAAGGGUUUCGUGUGAACAGCCGUUGCACACGAGUCAGUCGAUCCUAAGCCCUAGGAGAAAUAAAUCUCACACCCAUCGGGCGAAAGGGAAUCCGGUUCCUAUUCCGGAACCCGGCAGCGGAACCGUUUACAAGUCGGGCCCUCGCAAGAGAGUUCGUCGGGGUAACCCAAAAUGACCGGAGACGCCGUCGGGAGAUACGGGGAGAGUUUUCUUUUCUGUAUGAGCGUUCGAGUUCCCUGGAAUCCUCUAGCAGGGAGAUAGGGUUUGGAACGCGAAGAGCACCGCAGUUGCGGCGGUGUCCGUAUCUUCCCCUCGGACCUUGAAAAUCCAGGAGAGGGCCACGGUAGGUGUCGCGCCGGUUCGUACCCAUAUCCGCAGCAG